rnacentral:rRNA from 1 species
CUACGGGUGGCAGCAGUGAGGAAUAUUGCACAAUGGGGGGGACCCUGAUGCAGCAACGCCGCGUGGAGGAUGACGCAUUUCGGUGUGUAAACUCCUUUUAUAUGUCAAGAAAAUGACGGUAGCAUAUGAAUAAGCACCGGCUAACUCCGUGCCAGCAGCCGCGGUAAUACGGAGGGUGCAAGCGUUACUCGGAAUCACUGGGCGUAAAGGACGCGUAGGCGGGUUGGAAAGUCAGGUGUGAAAUCCUACAGCUUAACUGUAGAACUGCACUUGAAACUUCUAAUCUAGAGUAUGGGAGGGGGAGAUGGAAUUAGUGGUGUAGGGGUAAAAUCCGUAGAUAUCACUAGGAAUACCUAAAGCGAAGGCGAUCUCCUGGAACAUUACUGACGCUAAGGCGUGAAAGCGUGGUGAGCAAACAGGAUUAGAUACCCGUGUAGUC